GUCUACAGCCAUGCUACCCUGAACACGCCCGAUCUCAUCUGAUGCUGGAAGCUAAGCAGGGUCAGGCCUGUUUAGUAUUUGGAUGGGAAACCACCUAGGAAGACCGGGUGCUGUAGGUC
rnacentral:rRNA from 1 species